CUCUUGCCCCACAGCCUCUCGCUCUUGCCCCACAUUUUGCAAAUAAAAUGUAACAGCUGAGAUCAAUUAUGGCACUGUGCAUGCACCUCAGGAGGUACUCACUUGGCCAUGGGCUACUUUUGUUAUAUAAGCUCCACCUGGAAAGCCCUGGGGGCUACGUUAUGUGAUGUUAUGGCUGCUGCUACGGCUGCUAUGCCAGACAGGAGAGAAUAAAUGUGUCUGCAGUUCCUACUGCUCCUUGCAUCUUCUUCCAGCCUUUUAACUCACUCCUCUCUUACCCUGGGUUCAACAAAGAGUGCGCACAGUGAGAAACAGAGACACAGUCGGCGCUCUGAGCAGCAUCAGCGAAACAAGGUGGCAUAGGUGGCUUUGAAAGCGCUGGCACUAUUGGCAAUAAACCCAGUGUGCUGUUUCUCAAACUGUGGUCCUUGGACCAAUUGCAUUAGAAUUAUCUGGGGAAACUGCUGCUGCUAAGUCGCUUCAGUCAUGUCCGACUCUGUGCGACCCCACAGACGGCAGCCCACCAGGCUCCCCCGUCCCUGGGAUUCUCCAGGCAAGAACACUGGAGUGGGUUUCCAUUUCCUUCUCCAAUGCAUGAAAGUGAAAAGUGAAAGUGAAGUUGCUCAGUCGUAUCCAACUCUUCUCGACCCCAUGGACUGCAGCCUACUAGGCUCUUCUGCCCAUGGGACCCUCCAGGCAAGAGUACUGGAGUGGGGUGCCAUUGCCUUCUCCGAUCUGGGGAAACUAGGAGCACACAGAUUCUAUGUUUCUUUCGCAGACUUACUAAAGCAGAAGUUCUGGGGUAUUAGCUAAGAAUCUUCAUUUUUAGCCAGUUUCCUAGGUGACUCAUGUGCAAGCUGAAAUCUGAGAACUAGUCGUCUGCACAAAAGAGGCAGUGAAAUGGUUAAACAGUCAAACCCUGAGCAGCUGCCUUUAAAGAAGGGAAGUUUAAUAUUGUUUCACAGAAGGCAUUGCAACUUCUUUCACUGGAGCAAUGGAAAAGGGUUGUUGUUUUUGAUAUCAGAUUCAGUCUAAAAGAUUCUUCCAGUCCAAAGCUGAUGCCCACCGCUGCAGUGUUCAGGAAUAAAAUGAAAGAAAUAUAGAGACAGAGCUAACUCAUCAUUCAAAAAGAGUGGAGCUCGAUUUUUGCAAUGUAGUAAAAUAUACAACUUAGCAACUAAACAGCAAAAACAACUGAUAUACAACUUAGGGGCAGUAAAUGGAGAUAUUGUCUGUUGAAGUAGAGUCUGUGAUCAAAUACUGGUUGCUCUUAGUCUUUCCCCAGCUGGUACUGAUCAUAGCCAGGUACAGUGUUCAGCUAGUUCCUUUGAGUACACCUGGGUAAAACUUCCACCUGUUCCUAAUGGUGAAGCUCGGCAGUUACUUUCAGAGCCAAACUCUAAUUUUUGUAUCUGCUGUGCAUUAUUAAUUAUGCUGAAGCUCAACAUUUACUAAUUUGUACAGAGCUCUUAUUCCAAUCUGGGUCAUGGGAAAUCCACAGUCAUUUUUUUGGUCACCAUCCUACAGUCUGGAGUUGGAGAUCCCUUCAAGGGAUCCUGGUGAAGAUAACUGGGCCAGUUAGUUCCCACAGCUCCAUCCAGACCCUGAGGGUCAAGGAGGCAGAGUAAGUCACCAGCACCCAGAGAGAUCAAGUCCUAACACGUUAUUUCUCCCAAUAUUAUCCUCUCUUUUACCAACAGAUCUCAAAAGACUACAAUUUAAUUCGAAGACAAAGUGGAAGGAGUAGCUUUUUCUAAUUGAGUGAAAAGUUCUGUGACUAGAUUCAUUCCCGUGUGGUUCUUAAACCCUGGAUUGUAUUUGUGCUACAUUUGAUUUCCCACCCCAGAAUGUAAGAAAACAAUUGUAUUAGACACUAUAAAAGCAUUGUUCCGUUCUGCAACUAGAUGGUGAUGUAUGGAGAGCAUUGUGAACAUGCUUAAUGCCACUGAAUUAUGUACUUUAAAGUGAUUAAAUUGUGGAUUUUAUGUUACAGAUCUUUUACC
ensembl:lncRNA